GGUUAUUUCUAAUUUUUUAUCCAGCGCGCCAUCAUACAUUAUCCACGUUUCACAUAACCGACCUCUCCCCAUAUUAGGGUUUCAAUCCAGUUUUACUUGAAGAAAGAUAUCAACCUCCCUAUACACCAUUCUAGGUCUAAAUCAAAGAACACAACCAUCGACCUGUCUGCUCCAUAUAUUAGGGUUUUGUUGCUUCACCAUUCCAUGUGCAUGUGCAGCUCAGGUGUUCGAUAAAAUGCUUGUACCAGAUCGUUGAAGAAAUUGGAUUCGUUGAACAAAAAACGGCUCUAUAUUUUCCUUUGGUCAUCAGCUCGUCAAAAUUAGGGGCUUUUUUGGAUUGGAAUUUGGUGCAUUUGGAGUCAUGAGCACUGGGGAUUUCCUCAACUUUUAUUUUUCUAAACUUAAGUUUCCAUCUAAAGAUGGGAUGGUGGAUGGCAACAUGCUGCGAUGGCUGCAAUGGUGAAUGGCAGCGGUGCUGCAAGCAACCUCGUGGUCGAUCCAUAGGUCAAUAAUUACAAGAAGAUAAUUGGUAUGUCAAAGUUUCUAUUAACCAACACAAGCAACUUGAAGGAUCUCUAUUCUCUCCUUUCUUCUGGAAUUUUCAUCCAUCAUGAAAAACUGGUGAUUCAAUCUCCUAAACCACGUAUGUUUUCUGCUUUCCACACGUUUACUUUUUUUUUUCUUCCAGCACGUCUACUUUGUCCGAUCGAUGCUAUCAUCCUUAACAAUGCGAAAUUAACAUUAACUAAACUUAAAAUAAACUAGAAAGGAGGUUUUUGCGGCUCUAUCAGAGUAGAAAGUUUAAUGCGGCAUUGAUAUAAGUUUUUUUUUUCUUUAUGUAAUUAUAAGUUAGGAAUCGUUAGAGGACACUAUAAAUUUUAAGUUUACAUACAUGUUUUUUUUAUUCCUCUUCUGUCUUGUAUUUGUUUUCUUUUCUAAAAGAAGGCUUCAAAUGGUGCCAAUGCAAUGCAGUCACUUCUUAACAUGCUAACUUUAUUGACAAAGUUGGCACAUCUUUUUAUCUUCCUUUAUAUCUUGCUACAAAUGUGAUUUACCUAUAUCCUUUGAAAGAUGGCUGAAUACAUAAUAUGUGUGUGUGUGUGUGGGGGGGGGGGGGGGGAAAGCAAAGCGAGUGGGACAAUUUUGCGAGUUGGAUUGUGAAUUAAGUUGCUGGAAAAGCAGCUGAGCUAUCAGAAACAAGGGCGUGCGACCCAGUUUCACUCUAAAGCUGCGCGUGAUUAAUGGCUUCAAAAAGAUAUUGAUAAGUAUGAAAAGCUUCUGUCUUUAAAUGAGAAGCAGGAACUGAAUGAUAAUAUAGUAAACUUGAAAGAGAUUUGGCAGCACAAACACAUGUCAAAGGUCGUGAAGCAGAGAUAGCUGCUUUGGAAGCUAGAAUAUCAGGUUAUCGAAAAGGUUUUAAUCGGCAAAAGGCAAAGAGGGACGAACUUCAUGAUAAGCGAAAGUUAUUGUGGGGGACAGAAAGUGCAGUUAAUGCUGAAAUUGUGCGUUUUAAAGCUGAAGUUGUGAAGGCAGAAAAAGCCUUAGAUCAUGCUACUCCUAGGGACAUAAGAAGGGGAAUCAAUUGUAUUUGGAGAAUCUGCAGGGAGUACAACAUUUCCGGAGUGUAUGGUUCAAUUAUUGAGUUGCUUGAAUGUGAUGAAAACUUAUUUACUGCUGUUGAAGUGACCGUUGGAAACAGCUUAUUCCAUGUUGUGGUUGAAAGUGAUGAAAUAUCAACUCAAGUAAAUCGACACCUUAGUGGAGAGAAAGUUGGUAGAGUUACAUUUAUACCCCUUAACAGGGUUAAGGCUCCUUAUGUCACUUAUCCACCAACUUCUGAUGCCAUUCCUCUUCUUAAGAAACUGAAAUAUUCCCACAGUUAUCAUCAAGCAUUUUCUCUAGGGCUGUUCGUGAGCCGAGCCGAGACGAGCUAGGGCAUGCUCGGGCUCGACUAGAUUAUAAACCGAGCUAGCUCGGCUCAGAUUUGAAACCGAGCUGAAAAUCUAAGCUCAGGCUCGGCUUGGUUUUAAACCGAACUGGCUCGGCUCGGCUAGCUUUGCGCUCGGUUGGUUGAUCACAAACGGAACUGGUCUAGCCUCGUACCCGAUUGACACAGUGCGAAGAAGAAUGAUGAUGACAUCUGGGGAAGCCGUCAAGUACUAGAACAUAUUUGACGCGUUCAACCAAAUCGUGAAAAAGGAAGGUGUCAAAUCAUUGUUCAAGGGUGGAGGUGCUAACAUUCUCAGAGCUGUGGCUGGUGCAGGUGUGCUUGCCGGUUGACAAUGGUCAAGAUCCAACUCUUGAUUCUCUUGUUAACUUGGCAAGCCUUUUGAUUAUUUAUGAUUUUAUUGCCUUGUAGUUUACAUUUGUUUCAUGUAUUAAUCAAAUUGGCACUUUGUUUCAUGUAUUAAUCAAUGGUGACGUUUAUGACAUUAUGUAUGAUUUUACUGCC